ACGCUGGCGGCAGGCCUAACACAUGCAAGUCGAGCGGUAGCACAGGAGAGCUUGCUCUCUGGGUGACGAGCGGCGGACGGGUGAGUAAUGUCUGGGAAACUGCCUGAUGGAGGGGGAUAACUACUGGAAACGGUAGCUAAUACCGCAUGACCUCGCAAGAGCAAAGUGGGGGACCUUCGGGCCUCACGCCAUCGGAUGUGCCCAGAUGGGAUUAGCUAGUAGGUGGGGUAAUGGCUCACCUAGGCGACGAUCCCUAGCUGGUCUGAGAGGAUGACCAGCCACACUGGAACUGAGACACGGUCCAGACUCCUACGGGAGGCAGCAGUGGGGAAUAUUGCACAAUGGGCGCAAGCCUGAUGCAGCCAUGCCGCGUGUGUGAAGAAGGCCUUAGGGUUGUAAAGCACUUUCAGCGAGGAGGAAGGCGCUGUAGUUAAUAGCUGCAGCGAUUGACGUUACUCGCAGAAGAAGCACCGGCUAACUCCGUGCCAGCAGCCGCGGUAAUACGGAGGGUGCAAGCGUUAAUCGGAAUUACUGGGCGUAAAGCGCACGCAGGCGGUUUGUUAAGUCAGAUGUGAAAUCCCCGAGCUGAACUUGGGAACUGCAUUUGAAACUGGCAAGCUAGAGUCUUGUAGAGGGGGGUAGAAUUCCAGGUGUAGCGGUGAAAUGCGUAGAGAUCUGGAGGAAUACCGGUGGCGAAGGCGGCCCCCUGGACAAAGACUGACGCUCAGGUGCGAAAGCGUGGGGAGCAAAC
rnacentral:rRNA from 1 species